rnacentral:lncRNA from 12 species
GCAUCAUGUCAAGAAGUUACAGAGAUUAUACUGGAUAAGAACCAAAAAAAUGCUGUUCUCAUUCAAUAGACCACCCAGAGGCUUUUAGAUUGAUUACUCAUUGUUUUAACAUUCUGUUUUAGAGCAGAAGACAAGACCAGAAAAUCUGCCAUCCCCCACAGACAAAUCCAAACUGAAGCAUGGUCAGUAUGAAGCAGGUACAAAGGAAGAAUAUAAGCAGCAUCCUCAAAGAAUUGCAGAGAAGAAAAAAGACCACCUUCAGUGUCAAGACACUUUAAUAAAGGGUACACAGCUUGAAGAUGGACAUGAUGAUUUUGUAAGUCUUGAUAAGAAAGCUCUCCUGCAACAAUGCUAUACAAAAAAGCCUUAUAAUAUGCAGCUCAACAUAAGGAAAUCAGAAGCUGCAAGUAUUUGGACUGGUGUUAUUCUGCUAACCACCUAGAUGUGGAGAAUGGCUUCCUAGAUGUUCAACAGAAGUUAUGCCUUUGGGGAUUUGGGUCUAGUAGGUAAUUGCACCCAUUGAAAUUGUGUGAGUUUAAACUCAGCUGAACUGAGCAACCCAG